GCCUGGCUAGCUCAGUCGGUAGAGCAUGUGACUCUUAAUCUCAGGGUCGUUGGUUCGAGCCCCACGUUGGGCA
rnacentral:tRNA from 1 species